rnacentral:rRNA from 1 species
GGCGUGUGACUGCGUACCUUUUGUAUAAUGGGUCAGCGACUUAUAUUCUGUAGCAAGGUUAACCGAAUAGGGGAGCCGAAGGGAAACCGAGUCUUAACUGGGCGUUAAGUUGCAGGGUAUAGACCCGAAACCCGGUGAUCUAGCCAUGGGCAGGUUGAAGGUUGGGUAACACUAACUGGAGGACCGAACCGACUAAUGUUGAAAAAUUAGCGGAUGACUUGUGGCUGGGGGGGAAAGGCCAAUCAAACCGGGAGAUAGCUGGUUCUCCCCGAAAGCUAUUUAGGUAGCGCCUCGUGAACUCAUCUCCGGGGGUAGAGCACUGUUUCGGCAAGGGGGUCAUCCCGACUUACCAACCCGAUGCAAACUGCGAAUACCGGAGAAUGUUAUCACGGGAGACACACGGCGGGUGCUAACGUCCGUCGUGAAGAGGGAAACAACCCAGACCGCCAGCUAAGGUCCCAAAGUCAUGGUUAAGUGGGAAACGAUGUGGGAAGGCCCAGACAGCCAGGAUGUUGGCUUAGAAGCAGCCAUCAUUUAAAGAAAGCGUAAUAGCUCACUGGUCGAGUCGGCCUGCGCGGAAGAUGUAACG